GCAGUUUGACAUGAUGGCCACUAGAGGGCACUGUGAAGCCGAGCGCAGGUGUUCACUGGGGCGGCCCUUCGACCCUUUCUCCUCAGGAUGAGAAAAGUUAGUCCUUUCGCUAGCAGACCCUCUGCUCCGCUGGAGCUGCGUCCCCCUUUUGACAUCUUGCCUUUCAUUUAAUGAAAUGACCAUCCUAAGGAGAGGCCAAGAGUAUCAGCAGUAUCCAGAGUUGGAGCUCUUGGAUUGUUCCUAGAGCAAGAGAUCUCUGCCGGACCUGUUUGCCCCCAGAGUCAAGGCUGGCUCAGCAAAGACUUCUGGCAGCCUCCUCACAUCAGAUGAGGUGAGGCGACCUAGUCUCCCUUAAAAAAAAAAGUGGACCCAUUCGAAGUCAAAAAAUCUCCAGCAUCGUGGGAUUGGGUAGAACCUUCAGGCCCCGAGGUUGAUUCUCCACUCUUCAACCAAAACUGGACACCCGCUUAGUGUCUGGGACAAUGCAGGGAAGCGCCACCCUGUGCCUCAGCUCUAGGAAGGUGCCAGCCAGCUGGUGGCAUUGAAACGGCCAGGAGAAAUUAUACUCAGUACAGGGCCUGACCCGAAACCAGUUUGUGGAGGCCAAAGAAUUCAGCCCCUUCAAGGGGGCACACAGAGACCUGGAGAGGGAGAGUGAUUUUCUUGUUUGUUUUGCUCAAAGCCACACAGUAAGUGAAGGACGAAGUUGGGACCAGAUCCUAGGGCGGUGUAUUCCUCAAAAACCAGCUGAGGGGAAGACCUUCUGGAAGAACCAGAACUGAGCAUGAAAACAAAGCCCAUUCCCCACAAGAUGUCAUAACUGGUUCCCGGGGUGCCCUCAGGGCUCAGGGUUGGCUUUUUCUCAUCUCAAUGACUUUGCAUUUGCUUAGGUGCCUCAGAGCUUCUGAGGCUGAACUCGUCCCUGAAGCCAGGGCUAUCUGUUCAUAAGGAAUACAUGGCAAGCACGUUGAGUCGAUGCUCAGAAAGAAUUAAAAAGAAGUCCACAGGUCCUUACUCAGGCGUGGUCUAUGCUCCCUUACGACUUGUCCACAGCCUGCUUUUUCUCAGUCUCUUCCUCAUCACAGAGACUGUGCACGGUCCUUUCUCAGCUCCCAUCAUUUCUAGAAGAUUCUGGCCAGAGCUUCUUCCGCUAAACGUUUAAUAAUCCCCUUGCUUCCCUCUCCCAGAUAGUGCUGACAGUGACGACCUAACCCGAAGUAUGCAAAGGGAGCCAACUUUUCCCAGCAUCCGCGGUAUACAGACAUACGAUUCAGGAAAACUACCAGGAAGCAUGCUGUCCAUUUUCCAAUGCAUAACUCAUGGAUAAAAGCCAUGCUGGUGGUCGGCAAAUUCGGGACAAAGGUUCAGAGACUUCUGAACUUGUCCAGAGCUGGUUAGUAAGUCCUCUCACCUUAAAGUCUGCCCCCGUACGGCACACGUCUUCCCACUACCAUGAUGCACCACCACCCAGAGCACGUGACUGCCAGUCUUGAUUUGGACGUUUGCCAGCUUUUGGGAUAGUAGGUAAAAUUUCAAUUUCCUUAACUAUAAAGGGGAAAGUGCACAUCAGUAACGGCUGUCUUCCUGGGUCAUCUAAAAAGAUUAAGAUGACAAUAUGUAAAAAUGACAUUCAAAUGGAAGGCACCCCUCCAGCAGUGUUGGGCUGUCAAGGACAAUAUUUAAGACGCAAUCAAUCGCUCGACCUAUCUCCUGAUAGUACCUGUGUAAUAUUAUCCACACCUCCAGUUUAAUUUUGCUACCUUUUACAAAGAUCAUUAAAGACACAUUUGCUUUAUUUCUUU
rnacentral:lncRNA from 1 species